rnacentral:tRNA from 1 species
CAUUAGAUAGCUAAAUAAAGCAUUGAACUUUUAAUUCAAAGAUAAUUUUUAUAUUUCUAAUGU